rnacentral:lncRNA from 1 species
AUUCCCUUUUAUUUUGUGGGGGAGGAGGAGAGGGAAAGGGCAAAGAUAAUUAAGGAACAGCUGUUUGCUGUAGUGUCACUUGCUUAUUCAAAUUUUCUGAAUGGCUGAAUUAAUCAGCAUGUUUAUCUCUUCUCUGGCAUUCGGAAUGUUCUAGAUCAAUGGUUUUCCCAGCUUUAUCCUUAUUUCCUUCUCUUAGUGAUGUCCCUGUUUUCAUCUGUCUGGUCACUUCCCUUCUGUGGCUUUUAUUUUAUGUAUUUAUUUUACAGAAUAACAAAAGCACUCAUGUUACUUUAAGUCUUCCUCCCUGCCCCCCACCCCCUUCUUUUUUCAUGGAAAUAGGAGGUGAGUGAGAGCAAGUUGGUAAUUCAAUGGCAGCGGUAACUGAAACACUGACCUACUAAAAGGUGGGCGGAAGCUUCCACUUGAUUUGAUACAGAUCCUGUCAUCCAGGGAGGUUUGAAAGACCUUUAUGUCCCCGGUAGUUUGAGAACUCCAGAUCAGUCUCCUUCAGGAUGAAGUUCAACUUCCAAACAUCAAAGCCUCAAGCGCAAUUAUAAGGAAACUUAGUUUCACAGUGUUGCCCGUCUAGACCAGAAUUUGUUAUAAAGCGUCUGCGGCACAAGUAGCACUUGCUUUUCUUCAGGAAGGUUUAUGAGUUACAUUUUAGUUAGUGACCCAGGUAUCAGGGAGUAUAAGGUUCAGUGAGUCAAGCGAAAACAGAAAUCAUAUAAAAAGUCCAGCCUCUGUUUAAAGAGUGAUCUUAUUGGGAGGAAAAAUUAACCGACCGGUUGGGAGGAGAAGGAUCCGCCUCCACCAGAAAAGGGAAAACUCUGCAUACAUUUAACCGGCAAACAUGUCCUCGUAUCAGAAUCCAAGUAGCAGUCUCUCUGGGCUUAUAAAAACCCCAGGGACAUUUGUCUUGGUGUUGUGCCCUUCAUGUCCUUCCCCCUCCCCUUUCCCUCGUAAACAACAGAUGCAGUAACUUGGAAUGUCCGCGGAAAGUCUUUGAAAGCCGGUUGGUGUAACUUGGUUGCCAUCUCUUUAGUCUGAGCAGCAGUUACUCCAGAAGAGGCCAGAGGCCUUUUUUCCCUUAGAUGUAAUUUACUGAAGUAGCCUCUAAAA